CUUUUGAUUUUUUGUAUCUCUUUGUUUUACUUAAUCUAAAAUUGCACUAAAAAAUGUUCCCCAAUUUUAUCUUUGGUUGAACAAAUUUGAUAUUGGUGUGUUAAGAUUUCCUUUCUUUUUUUCAUUUGGGUUUGUUGUUGAUGUUCAGCUUUUCUUGUACUUUUCAACAAUUUCAAUGAAUUUGGGAGUAUACAAUUUUAAUGUGAUUCAUACUCUAGAUGAAGAACCACGUUCUCCUUGUUCUUUUUAUUUCAUUGAUAAGUAAUGGUUCAAUCACUAUGUUCUGCUCUGUUUAAUUGAUAGCAAAAUUGAGUGCGUUUGAGAAAUUUAAGGUUACAGAUCUGGUGAACAUGCCUGCUUCAGCUAGGGAUUUUUUCAUCAUUCAAGUGUAGUUACACGUGACACUACUUAGCAUAGGAACUGGUAAUUUUUUCUACUUUCAAUCCUCUUCUUGGUGUUCCUCUACUUUUGACUGAUACUUAAAUCUGGAGGUUUCUUUGAAUCUUUCUGCUUGUUUUUCACCUUCGAUUUCAUGCAUGAUAUAUUGGUGUGUUUUAAUUGAAUUUCGGCUUUUUUUAGUUUUUUGAGAUAUACUAAAUAAAGAAGCCUCUGCACUCAUGGUCAAUAUGCAUGUUUCAUCACAGGGCAAUUUGGUCAUUCCUUGCUUUCAUUUGGUUCAAGUGAUGCUCUGAUUUUUCAUAGUUUUCAUGGAUUUUACUCCACUGUGCUUAGUUUCCUUGUCGUUAUGUGUUUCGUGUAAUUUUAUUUGUUCUCUUUUUUUGUUCUAUCGGGGGUUACAAGUUGGGUUAAAUUAUGAUGGUUUCAAUUUGCAUAUGAAGUGUUUGAUAAAAGUGUUUACUAACUAUUAAGCCUCUGCUUCGUUGAUCAAAGAAACCAUUCUUGUUGUCCUCAAUUAAUGCUCUUAUUUGAGUUCCCUUAAUAUCAUUUAUGUUAACUUGCUUGAAUUUGGUUAUUCCCAUUUGUGUGUCUCGAUGUGUUGUCGCCAUAGUUUGGUUUACUAUGUGAAAUAUCAUAUUAUAGUAGUUGUUACUAGUGUUGUUUCGGUACGGUUUUCGUUGCAGUUCUUAGCUAGAGUUAGCUUUAGAAAAAAGAGCUAAUGAUUAAGAAAAUAUAUCUAAAUUGUCAUAAAUAUUUAAUCCCAAUCGAUGUAGAUCACUUUCUACCAUAAUAAGUUUACUUGCACUAGUUCUGAUCAAUAGUGACACAAUCUGUAAUUACACAAUCUAUUUCAUCCAUGAAGUUUUUUCAUUUCCAUAAUCUCGAAAUAGCAAGGAUACACUUCUGACCAUAUCAUAUAAAGCUGAUUUAUAUUUGGAAUGACAAGAGUUAUUGUAUAGGACUGGAUUUUUACCUUGUUCACAACCUCCAAAAGAUAGAGACUACAAUUUCCCUUGUUAUCAAAAAAAUUUGCACUUUCCUGAAAACUACAAAUCUUGAGUUGUUAUAGUGGACAUUAAAGUCGCUAUUCUGGAAAAGAAUGUAUCUGUGAAGUUGUAUCUUCAGGGGCCAUUUUGGUGAUGAUCUUAUCUGAUGUCUUUGUGCUUCGUGUUUUAAAAGGAAAAAGAAAUUGUUUACCCUUUCAUAGUUUAUGAAAAGGGUUUGGCUUGUUAUUCCAUAUUGAUUAUUUAUCAUGAAACCCAAGAACAUAAUAUUAUCAGUUUGAUUCCUAACAACAAUUUAGGUAGGUCUCUAAAGAGAUUUGUGUUGGAUAACCAGCUUUUGGGGAUAGCUCAAAAUUUUGAUAAAUUCUUAUUUCACCAACCAAACUUGUUUUCAAAAUUACCAUUCCUCAUAUUUUUGCUUGUAUAACAAUGUUAUUGUGGCUAUUAUUACCUUCUGAGACCAAGAAGAGGACCAAGAGUGUGAUCGGGAGCUGCUGGAUUCAGAUAUAAAAGUAGGCCAGUCUAUUGUUCUGAAGGUCAGCCAAUUUCAGAAGGCAUACCUUCGAUCAUCAAUGUUCGACUUAACUAUACAGAGGGGCAUUGAUAGUGAAGGCCAAAGCCCGAUUUCUUAAUUUUUGUAUUCAAAUUUUACAUAUGUGCAAGUUAAUUCUUUGAUAAUAUAACAAACUCGAAAUAUGAAUUAAAUUUUUU